GGAGCGUUCUGUAAGCCUGCGAAGGUGUGCUGUGAGGCAUGCUGGAGGUAUCAGAAGUGCGAAUGCUGACAUAAGUAACGAUAAAGCGGGUGAAAAGCCCGCUCGCCGGAAGACCAAGGGUUCCUGUCCAACGUUAAUCGGGGCAGGGUGAGUCGACCCCUAAGGCGAGGCCGAAAGGCGUAGUCGAUGGGAAACAGGUUAAUAUUCCUGUACUUGGUGUUACUGCGAAGGGGGGACGGAGAAGGCUAUGUUGGCCGGGCGACGGUUGUCCCGGUUUAAGCGUGUAGGCUGGUUUUCCAGGCAAAUCCGGAAAAUCAAGGCUGAGGCGUGAUGACGAGGCACUACGGUGCUGAAGCAACAAAUGCCCUGCUUCCAGGAAAAGCCUCUAAGCAUCAGGUAACAUCAAAUCGUACCCCAAACCGACACAGGUGGUCAGGUAGAGAAUACCAAGGCGCUUGAGAGAACUCGGGUGAAGGAACUAGGCAAAAUGGUGCCGUAACUUCGGGAGAAGGCACGCUGAUAUGUAGGUGAAGUCCCUUGCGGAUGGAGCUGAAAUCAGUCGAAGAUACCAGCUGGCUGCAACUGUUUAUUAAAAACACAGCACUGUGCAAACACGAAAGUGGACGUAUACGGUGUGACGCCUGCCCGGUGCCGGAAGGUUAAUUGAUGGGGUCAGCGCAAGCGAAGCUCUUGAUCGAAGCCCCGGUAAACGGCGGCCGUAACUAUAACGGUCCUAAGGUAGCGAAAUUCCUUGUCGGGUAAGUUCCGACCUGCACGAAUGGCGUAAUGAUGGCCAGGCUGUCUCCACCCGAGACUCAGUGAAAUUGAACUCGCUGUGAAGAUGCAGUGUACCCGCGGCAAGACGGAAAGACCCCGUGAACCUUUACUAUAGCUUGACACUGAACAUUGAGCCUUGAUGUGUAGGAUAGGUGGGAGGCUUUGAAGUGUGGACGCCAGUCUGCAUGGAGCCGGCCUUGAAAUACCACCCUUUAAUGUUUGAUGUUCUAACGUGGACCCGUGAUCCGGGUUGCGGACAGUGUCUGGUGGGUAGUUUGACUGGGGCGGUCUCCUCCUAAAGAGUAACGGAGGAGCACGAAGGUUGGCUAAUCCUGGUCGGACAUCAGGAGGUUAGUGCAAUGGCAUAAGCCAGCUUGACUGCGAGCGUGACGGCGCGAGCAGGUGCGAAAGCAGGUCAUAGUGAUCCGGUGGUUCUGAAUGGAAGGGCCAUCGCUCAACGGAUAAAAGGUACUCCGGGGAUAACAGGCUGAUACCGCCCAAGAGUUCAUAUCGACGGCGGUGUUUGGCACCUCGAUGUCGGCUCAUCACAUCCUGGGGCUGAAGUAGGUCCCAAGGGUAUGGCUGUUCGCCAUUUAAAGUGGUACGCGAGCUGGGUUUAGAACGUCGUGAGACAGUUCGGUCCCUAUCUGCCGU
rnacentral:rRNA from 1 species